rnacentral:rRNA from 1 species
UACGUAGGUGGCAAGCGUUGUCCGGAUUUACUGGGUGUAAAGGGCGUGCAGCCGGGAAGACAAGUCAGAUGUGAAAUCCCGCGGCUCAACCGCGGAACUGCAUUUGAAACUGUUUUUCUUGAGUACCGGAGAGGUCAUCGGAAUUCCUUGUGUAGCGGUGAAAUGCGUAGAUAUAUGGAGGAACACCGGUGGCGAAAGCGGCUCUCUGGCCUGUAACUGACACUGAGGCUCGAAAGCGUGGGGAGCAAACAGG